UACGUAGGGUGCAAGCGUUAAUCGGAAUUACUGGGCGUAAAGCGUGCGCAGGCGGUUUUGCAAGUCAGAUGUGAAAUCCCCGGGCUUAACCUGGGAAUUGCAUUUGUGACUGUACGGCUAGAGUGUGUCAGAGGGGGGUAGAAUUCCACGUGUAGCAGUGAAAUGCGUAGAGAUGUGGAGGAAUACCGAUGGCGAAGGCAGCCCCCUGGGAUAACACUGACGCUCAUGCACGAAAGCGUGGGGAGCAAACAGG
rnacentral:rRNA from 1 species